AGGUGGAGUAUAUAAUCAUAUCAAGUCAUUGAAACACGUCAAGUAUGAAAACGAAACAGAACUGUCCAAGUACAUAUGGGAGCUGAAGCGGAAGGAACACUAAAAGGUGGAGUAUAUAAUCAUAUCAAGUCAUUCAAACACGUCAAGUAUGAAAACGAAACAGAACUGUCCAAGUACAUAUGGGAGCUGAAGCGGAAGGAAGCCCAGUACACCAUAAGCUGGAGGAUAAUAAAGGAACCAAACACUAAAAGGUGGAGUAUAUAAUCAUAUCAAGUCAUUCAAACACGUCAAGUAUGAAAACGAAACAGAACUGUCCAAGUACAUAUGGGAGCUGAAGCGGAAGGAAGCCCAGUACACCAUAAGCUGGAGGAUAAUAAAGGAACCAAACACUAAAAGGUGGAGUAUAUAAUCAUAUCAAGUCAUUCAAACACGUCAAGUAUGAAAACGAAACAGAACUGUCCAAGUACAUAUGGGAGCUGAAGCGGAAGGAACACUAAAAGGUGGAGUAUAUAAUCAUAUCAAGUCAUUCAAACACGUCAAGUAUGAAAACGAAACAGA
rnacentral:lncRNA from 1 species